rnacentral:rRNA from 1 species
UACAGAGGGGGCAAGCGUUGUUCGGAAUUACUGGGCGUAAAGGGCGCGUAGGCGGCCUCUUAAGUCGAACGUGAAAUCCCCGGGCUUAACCCGGGAACUGCGUCCGAUACUGGUGGGCUUGAAUCCGGGAGAGGGAUGUGGAAUUCCAGGUGUAGCGGUGAAAUGCGUAGAUAUCUGGAGGAACACCGGUGGCGAAGGCGGCAUCCUGGACCGGUAUUGACGCUGAGGCGCGAAAGCUAGGGGAGCAAACGGG